rnacentral:rRNA from 1 species
UCAUUAACGUGGGUCGAGUUCUCUCGGCGGGCCUGGGCCCGUCUGGGAGCGACUUUUGUUACCGUCUCACCCCUGUGCACAUGGCGGACCGGCCUCCGUGGCAAGCCCGUCCCGAGGUGGUGGGGUUCACCCCUCUUCCUCGCAUUUCGAUGACGCCUGUAACAGAGUACGUAGUCGGCUCUACGGAGCCGGGGGGAAAAAUUGAAAUGACCGAGUACAACUUUCAACAACGGAUCUCUUGGCUUUCGCAUCGAUGAAGGACGCCGCGAACGCGCGAAACGUAAUGUGAAUUGCAGAAUUCAGUGAAUCAUCGAAUCUUUGAACGCACCUUGCGCUCCUUGGCAUUCCGAGGAGCAUGCCUGUUUGAGUGUCGUGAAAUCCCUCGACCCCUCGAGGCCCUCGGUCGCUCCUUGCACCCUUGGGCUGUCGUCCGGGUCGGAUUUGGAUGUCUUGCCGGUCCAUCCCUUGCGGUGGGACUGGCUCGUCUCGAAAUGCAUCGGCUGGCCGUUUUCCCCUGCGGACGGGCGUGAUAAGUGGAAACGCUCGCCCUCGUCCCCGGGGGUGAAAAAGGAAAGGCUGGCUCAAAGUCGUCUCGGAGCCUUCCGGACAACAAAAAAAGGGGGUUCACCCCCUGAGGUCUGACCUCAAAUCAGGUAGGACUACCCGCUGAACUUAAGCAUA